AUAUAAACACACACACACACACACACACUCACACACUCAUGCUCUGAAUAGAAGGUUUGGAUGAUUCUCUGAUUGUGAACGAUCAUCUCCUUAUCUUCUGAUCUUCUCGACUGUGACUCUUCAGUCCUCUCUUGCUGACUUCAUCAUGGAGAUCC